GCAAGUCGUACGGUAAGGCACCUUCGGGUGUACACGAGUGGCGUACGGGUGAGUAACGCGUGGGUAAUCUGCCCUCAGGUCGGGGACAACUUCGGGAAACUGGAGCUAAUACCGGAUGAGCCCACGAGGCCUUCGGGCCUCGCGGGAAAAGGUGGCCUCUCCUUGGAAGCUACCGCCAGGGGAUGAGCCCGCGUCCCAUUAGCUUGUUGGUGAGGUAACGGCUCACCAAGGCAACGAUGGGUAGCUGGUCUGAGAGGAUGAUC
rnacentral:rRNA from 1 species